rnacentral:rRNA from 1 species
UACGAAGGGGGCUAGCGUUGCUCGGAAUCACUGGGCGUAAAGCGCACGUAGGCGGAUUGUUAAGUCGGGGGUGAAAUCCUGGAGCUCAACUCCAGAACUGCCUUCGAUACUGGCGAUCUUGAGUCCGGGAGAGGUGAGUGGAACUCCUGGUGUAGCGGUGAAAUGCGCAGAUAUCAGGAGGAACACCGAUGGCGAAGGCAGCUCGCUGGGACGGUACUGACGCUGAGGCGCGAAAGCGUGGGGAGCAAACAGG